rnacentral:rRNA from 1 species
GACGAACGCUGGCGGCGUGCCUAAUACAUGCAAGUAGAACGCAGUUGCGAACGGGUGAGUAACGCGUAGGUAACUGCCUCAUAGCGGGGGAUAACUAUUGGAAACGAUAGCUAAUACCGCAUACUGUGAGCUGGACCUGCGUUGUAUUAGCUAGUUGGUGAGGUAAAGGCUCACCAAGGCGACGAUACAUAGCCGACCUGGGAGGGUGGUCGGGCAAACUUGGACCUAGACAAGGCCCCGAAUCCCAAGGGGGGCAGGAGGAGGGGAAUUUCGGCCAAUGACCGAAGUCUUACCGAGCAACGCCGCGGGAGGGAAGGAAGGUUUCGGAGCGUAAAGCUCUGUUGUUAGAGAAGCGGUAACUAACCAGAAAGGGACGGCUAACUACGUGCCAGCAGCCGCGGUAAUUC